rnacentral:lncRNA from 1 species
GCAGCCGCGGUUUGGGGCGUCGGCUCACGUGGGGCCGGCAACGCGUCUUCCAGGAUGUUCGCGCGCUAGUCACCGCUGAGGGGUCGGCGAUGCGCGAGGAGUUCCGGCGAGGAAGGUCGGUCAGGGGACAUGGCCGAGGCCCGCGGUGUCCGCGUGUGGGAGCUGCAGGGCUGAGGAGAGGCCGCCCGCAACCCUCGGGAAUCGUGUACCACAGUUCUGGGCAUUUUGUACACCCCCAACAAAUACUGAUUUAUUUCGUUCUUUUUCCUUGCUCAGAAAAAAUUGGAGAAGCCUUUAUUUUAAAAUUCUGCCUGAAUUACUUUAUUUUAUUUAUUUAUUUAUUUAUUUUUUGGAGACAGAGUCUUGCUCUGUCACCCAGGCUGGAGUGCAGUGGUGCAAUCUCAGCUCACUGCAACCUCCUCCUGCUGGGUUCAAACGAUUCUCCUGCCUCAGCCUCCUGAGUAGCUGGGCUUACGGGUGCCCACCACCAUGCCCAGCUAAUUUCUAUAUUUUUAGUAGAGACGGGGUUUCGCCACAUUGGCCAGGCUGGUCUCGAACUCCUGAUCUCACAUGAUCCGCCCACCUCAGCCUCCCAAAUUGCUGGGAUUACGGGCAUGAGCCACCAUGCCCAGCCCUUGAAUUACUUUAGAUCCUACUUUUUAAGAAAAUAUUUGGCCGGGCAUGGUGGCACACACCUGUAAUCGCAGCACUUUGGGGGCCUGAGGUGGGUGGAUCACUUGAGUCUAAGAGUUCGAGACCAGCCUGGCCAACAUGGCGAAACCCUAUCUCUACUAAAAAUACAAAAAUUAGCUGGGCAUGGUGGUGGGCGCCUGUAAUCCCAGCUACUUGGGAGGCUGAGGCAGGGAGAAUCACUUGAACCUGGGGGGGCAGAGGUUGCAGUGAGCCAAGAUAGUGCCGCUGUACUACAGCCUGGGCGACAGAGCAAGACUUUGUCUCAAAAAAAAAAAAAAAAGAAAGAAAGAAAAUAUUUGACGUUCUUUUUAAAAUGUAUAUGGUUUACAAAUAAAGUUUACAAAUGCUUUUAC